GGAAUCUUAGACAAUGGGGGAAACCCUGAUCUAGCCAUGCCGCGUGAUCGAUGAAGGCCUUAGGGUUGUAAAGAUCUUUCAGAUGGGAAGAUAAUGACGGUACCAUCAGAAGAAGCCCCGGCUAACUCCGUGCCAGCAGCCGCGGUAAUACGGAGGGGGCUAGCGUUAUUCGGAAUUACUGGGCGUAAAGCGCACGUAGGCGGAUUAGAAAGUCAGAGGUGAAAUCCCAGGGCUCAACCUUGGAACUGCCUUUGAAACUCCUAGUCUUGAGGUCGAGAGAGGUGAGUGGAAUUCCGAGUGUAGAGGUGAAAUUCGUAGAUAUUCGGAGGAACACCAGUGGCGAAGGCGGCUCACUGGCUCGAUACUGACGCUGAGGUGCGAAAGCGUGGGGAGCAAACAGGAUUAGAUACCCUAG
rnacentral:rRNA from 1 species